UACAGAGGGUGCGAGCGUUGUUCGGAAUUAUUGGGCGUAAAGGGCGCGUAGGCGGUGCGGUAAGUCACCUGUGAAAUCUCCUGGCUCAACUGGGAGCUUGCAGGCGAAACUGCCGUGCUGGAGUGUGGGAGAGGUGCGUGGAAUUCCCGGUGUAGCGGUGAAAUGCGUAGAUAUCAGGAGGAACACCGGUGGUGUAGACGGCUCUCUGGACCGUAACUGACGCUGAGGCACGAAAGCGUGGGUAGCAAACAGG
rnacentral:rRNA from 1 species